rnacentral:sRNA from 1 species
UUAUCGAAGAAAAAAAC